rnacentral:rRNA from 1 species
CGGAGGGUGCGAGCGUUGUCCGGAAUCACUGGGCGUAAAGGGCGCGUAGGUGGCCCGGUAAGUAGGGGGUGAAAUCUUGCGGCUCAACCGCAAGGCUGCCUUCUAAACUGCCAGGCUUGAGCACAGUAGAGGCAGGUGGAAUUCCCGGUGUAGCGGUGGAAUGCGUAGAGAUCGGGAAGAACAUCGGUGGCGAAGGCGGCCUGCUGGGCUGUUGCUGACACUGAGGCGCGACAGCGUGGGGAGCAAACAGGAUUAGAUACCCUGGUAGUCCACGCCGUAAACGAUGGGCACUAGGCGUCGGGGGGAGCGACCCUCCCGGUGCCGUCGCUAACGCAGUAAGUGCCCCGCCUGGGGAGUACGGCCGCAAGGCUG